GUGUUUCUUUCUGUCUUUGUAUUUCUCUCUCUGUUUCAUUAUUUUUCUUUGUCUUUCUUAUUGCAUCUUUUUUUUAUCUCUUUCUCUUCCUGUCUGUUUCUUUCUCUUUCUGUAUUGCAGUCUUCUUUUUUAUCUCUUUCUCUUCCUGUCUGUUUCUUUCUCUUUCUGUAUUGCAGUCUGUUCUUUUGUCUCUUUCUCUUCCUGUCUGUUUAUUUCUCUAUCUUCAUAUUUCUCUCUGUGUGUGUUUCAUUCUUUUUCUUUCUUUCUUUCAUUUUCUUAUCGCAGUCUUUUUUCAUCUCUUUCUCUUCCUGUCUGUUUCUUUCUCUUUCUGUAUUGCAGUCUGUUCUUUUGUCUCUUUCUCUUCCUGUCUGUUUAUUUCUCUAUCUUCGUAUUUCUCUAUGUGUUUCAUUCUUUUUCUUUCUUUCUCUUUCUUAUUGCAGUC